CAGCCGCCACGGGAAUACGGAGGGUGCAAGCGUUGUCCGGAUUUAUUGGGUUUAAAGGGUGCGUAGGCGGCUAUUUAAGUCAGCGGUGAAAGACUCCGGCUCAACCGGAGCAGUGCCAUUGAUACUGGAUAGCUUGAGUGUUGGAGGGGUACAUGGAAUUGAUGGUGUAGCGGUGAAAUGCAUAGAUACCAUCAGGAACACCGAUAGCGAAGGCAUUGUACUGGCCAACAACUGACGCUGAGGCACGAAAGCAUGGGGAGCGAACAGGAUUAGAUACCCGCGUAGUCCCUGUCUCUUAUAC
rnacentral:rRNA from 1 species